rnacentral:rRNA from 1 species
CCCUUAGAUGUUCUGGGCCGCACGCGCGCUACACUGACGCCUACAGCGAGUACUUCCCAGCCCCGAGAGGUGGCUGGUAAUCAGCAAUAGGCGUCGUGAUGGGGAUAGAUCUUUGGAAUUAUGGAUCUUGAACGAGGAAUGCCUAGUAAGCGCAGGUCAUUAGCCUGCGCUGAUUAAGUCCCUGCCCUUUGUACACACCGCCCGUCGCUCCUACCGAUUUCGAGUGGUCCGGUGAAUCUUUCGGACUGCGCGCGGCCUCGUGCCGUGUCGCGGAAAGUCAGGUAAACCUUAUCACUUAGAGGAAGGAGAAGUCGUAACA